GAAGAGAGAGUUCAGAGGGCGUGAACCGUUUAGACGAAAACGGCUAGAGCUGAUGAAAGUCUGAUGGAUUCAUCUUAUCUGACGAUAGUUCGCCACUCGUUUCCAGACCUUAACUGGCUGGGAUCGUGCUCGCGUUUUGCUAACGUCAGUUGGUGCACUUCCUUCAGAUGGACGUCGAGGGCGAUGACGGCUCGGUGGGAAGUCUAGUGUUGAGGGCUGKAGCUUCGGCUUCAGUGUCCCACGCUGACGGACCAGGCGUAGCUGACAUUGUUGGUGCUUAUGUGCCCACAUCGUCUCGGUAGCGCUGGAACGGUGGCUCUGAAACUUCUGUGGUACUCUGUUCGCAGGUCCAUGGAAUCAGACUGUCGUAUUUAGAAGGCGUUUUACCGAGUUGGUGCAGCCUCGACGUUUAAAGUCGGCCACCUAGCCGACCCGUCUUGAAACACGGACCAAGGAGUUUAACAUGUGUGCGAGUGAUUGGGUCGAAGACCUAAGAGCGAAAUGAAAGUAAAAGUUGGCUUUGGUCGACUUAGAUGGGAUCCCCGCACCCUCGUGGUCGGGGCGCACCAUCGUCCCGUCCCGUCUGCAUUGUCAGUGGGACGGAGAUAGAGCACACAUGUUGAGACCCGAAAGAUGGUGAACUAUGCCUGAGCAGGAUGAAGCCAGAGGAAACUCUGGUGGAAGUCCAUAGCGGUUCUGACGUGCAAAUCGAUCGUCAGACUUGGGUAUAGGGGC
rnacentral:rRNA from 1 species